rnacentral:rRNA from 1 species
AUUGAACGCUGGCGGCAGGCCUAACACAUGCAAGUCGAACGAGUGGCGGACGGGUGAGUAAUGUCUGGGAAACUGCCUGAUGUAGGGGGCUCACUACUGUAAACGGUAGCUACUACCGCAUAACAUCAGAUGUGCCCAGAUGGGAUUAGCUUGUUGGUGGGGUAACGGCUCACCAAGGCGACGAUCCCUAGCUUGGCUGAGAGGAUGACCAGCCACACUGGAACUGAGACACGGUCCAGACUCCUACGGGAGGCAGCAGUGGGGAAGAUUGGACAAUGGGCGCAAGCCUGAUACAGCCAUGCCGCGUGUAUGAAGAAGGCCUUCGGGUUGUAAAGUACUUUCAGCGGGGAGGCGUUACCCGCAGAAGAAGCACCGGCUAACUCCGUGCCAGCAGCCGCGGUAAUAC